rnacentral:rRNA from 1 species
CAGCAGCCGCGGGAAUACGUAGGUGGCAAGCGUUGUCCGGAAUUAUUGGGCGUAAAGGGCUCGCAGGCGGUUUCUUAAGUCUGAUGUGAAAGCCCCCGGCUCAACCGGGGAGGGUCAUUGGAAACUGGGAAACUUGAGUGCAGAAGAGGAGAGUGGAAUUCCACGUGUAGCGGUGAAAUGCGUAGAGAUGUGGAGGAACACCAGUGGCGAAGGCGACUCUCUGGUCUGUAACUGACGCUGAGGAGCGAAAGCGUGGGGAGCAAACAGGAUUAGAUACCCCUGUAGUCCCUGUCUCUUAUAC